rnacentral:rRNA from 1 species
UGAGUAGGCGGUAAUAUGUGUCAGAUGUAAAAGGCUAUGGCUUAACCAUAGUUGGCAUUUGAAACUGUAUUACUUGAGUGCAGGAGAGGUAAGUGGAAUUCCUAGUGUAGCGGUGAAGUGCGUAGAUAUUAGGAGGAACACCAGUGGCGAAGGCGACUUACUGGACUGUAACUGACGCUGAGUCACGAAAGCGUGGGUAGCAAACAG